UUUUUUUUCUGGAAUCCUAGAGGAUGCACGGAUACAAUUCACCCAAUGUGUCCAUCUUUCCUCUCCUGAGUGUCAGUCUAUAGAUUUCUGACCUCUAGAGGAACCCCUGAAGCUGUGCAGCUAUACUUUACCGGUUACGUCUAGACUAUAAGGGACCACAGUGUUCCAUCUCAGGCAGGUUCAGCGACCUGCAAGUAGUGAUACAGCUGGGAAAGUUACAGAGCCUGCGGGACGCUCCCGCUGCAACUUCAGUUCCGACCAGAGGUUCUGCGAACCUCCAGGAUUUAGCAGGUUUCCAGGACCGGCUAUAGACAUUCCUAAGAAGCACGCAGUCAGCAUUGAUGAGAGUGGAAUCAAGCUAUGGAAUUCUCAUUUGGAGUCUGCUGCCAGUUUCUGAACAGUGAAGCGGGAGAGUUCUGAACAGUGAAGCAGGAGCUCUGUAUUCAGCGAGACUCUGGGGCCUGGAAAGUGGGAUUACAGCAUCCAUUUUGUCUAAUUGCUUUCCUUCUUUCUUUUAUGUGGCUGCUAAAGCCCCAUGACCUUCACUAUUUAACUGCUUCAUCAGAGUGAAAGAAUUGCCUUGAUGUUCAUAAGGAUUACUUUUUUCGCAC
rnacentral:antisense_RNA from 1 species